rnacentral:rRNA from 1 species
GAUGAACGCUGGCGGCGUGCCUAAUACAUGCAAGUCGAGCGAACAGAUAAGGAGCUUGCUCCUUUGACGUUAGCGGCGGACGGGUGAGUAACACGUGGGUAACCUACCUAUAAGACUGGAAUAACUCCGGGAAACCGGGGCUAAUGCCGGAUAACAUUUAGAACCGCAUGGUUCUAAAGUGAAAGAUGGUUUUGCUAUCACUUAUAGAUGGACCCGCGCCGUAUUAGCUAGUUGGUAAGGUAACGGCUUACCAAGGCAACGAUACGUAGCCGACCUGAGAGGGUGAUCGGCCACACUGGAACUGAGACACGGUCCAGACUCCUACGGGAGGCAGCAGUAGGGAAUCUUCCGCAAUGGGCGAAAGCCUGACGGAGCAACGCCGCGUGAGUGAUGAAGGUCUUCGGAUCGUAAAACUCUGUUAUUAGGGAAGAACAAAUGUGUAAGUAACUGUGCACGUCUUGACGGUACCUAAUCAGAAAGCCACGGCUAACUACGUGCCAGCAGCCGCGGUAAUACGUAGGUGGCAAGCGUUAUCCGGAAUUAUUGGGCGUAAAGCGCGCGUAGGCGGUUUCUUAAGUCUGAUGUGAAAGCCCACGGCUCAACCGUGGAGGGUCAUUGGAAACUGGGAAACUUGAGUGCAGAAGAGGAAAGUGGAAUUCCAUGUGUAGCGGUGAAAUGCGCAGAGAUAUGGAGGAACACCAGUGGCGAAGGCGACUUUCUGGUCUGUAACUGACGCUGAUGUGCGAAAGCGUGGGGAUCAAACAGGAUUAGAUACCCUGGUAGUCCACGCCGUAAACGAUGAGUGCUAAGUGUUAGGGGGUUUCCGCCCCUUAGUGCUGCAGCUAACGCAUUAAGCACUCCGCCUGGGGAGU